rnacentral:rRNA from 1 species
UACGUAGGGGGCAAGCGUUAUCCGGAAUCAUUGGGCGUAAAGCGCGCGCAGGCGGUCCUUUAAGUCUGAUGUGAAAGCCCACGGCUCAACCGUGGAGGGUCAUUGGAAACUGGAGGACUUGAGUACAGAAGAGGAAAGCGGAAUUCCACGUGUAGCGGUGAAAUGCGUAGAGAUGUGGAGGAACACCAGUGGCGAAGGCGGCUUUCUGGUCUGUAACUGACGCUGAGGCGCGAAAGCGUGGGGAGCAAACAGG